CCAAGAUUCCAGAGAUGUGGCUGGUUUCACUUCCAGGAAGCUUGCUGGAAGACUGCCCUGUGCCCCACGCCUCAGUAGGGCAGGGGGCCUCCCCUGGUUUUAGGAUCAUGCUUCUCCUGCCUGCUGAUGCUACGAUCAGUGACCAUGGACUCAUAAGGCUUUUGUUUAAGAAUUGCCUAAGAUGUUCUUCAGAUCCUGAAUUCCAGCAGGAAAGCUAAUGCCAACCAGUUUGAAAACAACCACAGAGGAAUCGAAUCAGCACGAGAAUGCAGUUUCUUCAUUUCCCUGUCCCAUGACUUUACUCUGCACUCUUUGACCAAUCAAUAAUCCUGGACCUUGGCCCACUUCAAACCCCUUGAAAUCUCUAGCUCCAACUCCCUGGAGGGGUGGAUUUGAGGUUUCCUCCUGUUUCCUUGUUUGGCUGCCGUAUGAUUAUUAAACUCUUUCUUUGCUGCAA
ensembl:lncRNA SYN3-AS1 SYN3 antisense RNA 1